AACGAACGCUGGCGGCAGGCCUAAAACAUGCAAGUCGAACGAACCUUCGGGUUAGUGGCGCACGGGUGAGUAACGCGUGGGAAUGUGCCUCUGGGUGCGGAACAACGUCGGGAAACUGACGCUAAUACCGCAUAAUGUCUACGGACCAAAGAUUUAUCGCCCAGAGAUCAGCCCGCGUCUGAUUAGCUAGUUGGUGAGGUAACGGCUCACCAAGGCUACGAUCAGUAGCUGGUCUGAGAGGAUGAUCAGCCACACUGGAACUGAGACACGGUCCAGACUCCUACGGGAGGCAGCAGUUAGGAAUAUUGGACAAUGGGGGAAACCCUGAUCCAGCCAUGCCGCGUGUGUGAAGAAGACCU
rnacentral:rRNA from 1 species